AGACCCGAAACCCGGUGAUCUAGCCAUGGGCAGGUUGAAGGUUGGGUAACACUAACUGGAGGACCGAACCGACUAAUGUUGAAAAAUUAGCGGAUGACCUGUGGCUGGGGGUGAAAGGCCAAUCAAACCGGGAGAUAGCUGGUUCUCCCCGAAAGCUAUUUAGGUAGCGCCUCGUGAAUUCAUCUCCGGGGGUAGAGCACUGUUUCGGCUAGGGGGCCAUCCCGGCUUACCAACCCGAUGCAAACUGCGAAUACCGGAGAAUGUUAUCACGGGAGACACACGGCGGGUGCUAACGUCCGUCGUGAAGAGGGAAACAACCCAGACCGCCAGCUAAGGUCCCAAAGUCAUGGUUAAGUGGGAAACGAUGUGGGAAGGCCCAGACAGCCAGGAUGUUGGCUUAGAAGCAGCCAUCAUUUAAAGAAAGCGUAAUAGCUCACUGGUCGAGUCGGCCUGCGCGGAAGAUGUAACGGGGCUAAACCAUGCACCGAAGCUGCGGCAGCGACACUCAGGUGUUGUUGGGUAGGGGAGCGUUCUGUAAGCCUGCGAAGGUGGCCUGUGAGGGUUGCUGGAGGUAUCAGAAGUGCGAAUGCUGACAUAAGUAACGAUAAAGCGGGUGAAAAGCCCGCUCGCCGGAAGACCAAGGGUUCCUGUCCAACGUUAAUCGGGGCAGGGUGAGUCGACCCCUAAGGCGAGGCCGAAAGGCGUAGUCGAUGGGAAACGGGUUAAUAUUCCCGUACUUGGUGUUACUGCGAAGGGGGGACGGAGAAGGCUAUGUUGGCCGGGCGACGGUUGUCCCGGUUUAAGCGUGUAGGCUGGUUUUCCAGGCAAAUCCGGAAAAUCAAGGCUGAGGCGUGACGACGAGGCACUACGGUGCUGAAGCAACAAAUGCCCUGCUUCCAGGAAAAGCCUCUAAGCAUCAGGUAACACGAAAUCGUACCCCAAACCGACACAGGUGGUCAGGUAGAGAAUACCAAGGCGCUUGAGAGAACUCGGGUGAAGGAACUAGGCAAAAUGGUGCCGUAACUUCGGGAGAAGG
rnacentral:rRNA from 1 species